GUAGGUGAACCUGCGGAAGGAUCAUUAACACUAUUAAAAAAUCCAACGUGUCUUAAACAUCCGUUUUAAGACAUAAACCCCCUUUUUUUUUUAAAAGCGAACUAAAACGAAGGAUUUAUUUCUCUUCGUUUCUCUUUUUUUUCUCUUUCACCACAAGCCCAAUUGAAUUUUUUAGACUGAAACUUUUUUUCUUCUGGAAACAGAGAAAAAUAAAAAACAAAAUGCUAUACAACUCUUAACAACGGAUAUCUUGGUUCUC
rnacentral:misc_RNA from 1 species